rnacentral:rRNA from 1 species
UGGGGAAUAUUGGGCAAUGGGCGCAAGCCUGACCCAGCAACGCCGCGUGAGGGAAGAAGGCUUUCGGGUUGUAAACCUCUGUCCUUGGUGACGAAACAAAUGACGGUAGCCAAGGAGGAAGCCCCGGCUAACUACGUGCCAGCAGCCGCGGUAAUACGUAGGGGGCGAGCGUUGUCCGGAAUUACUGGGCGUAAAAGGUGCGUAGGUGGGCUUUUAAGUUGGGUGUGAAAUACCCGGGCGUAACCUGGGGGGUGCAUCUAAUACUGGGAGGCUAGAGUGCAGGAGAGGAAAGCGGAAUUCCUAGUGUAGCGGUGAAAUGCG